GCCGGCGGGGUUUCCGAGCGGGAGGAGCCGGGCCAGCGCCCAGGGGCCCCGUGGGUGAAGAUUCUGCAUCCGCGCCUUGAAGGUUCUGCAUCCCCGGGCCCCGCACGGUGAGAAGGGCUGAAGGUUCUGCAUCCCCGGGCCCCGCACGGUGAGCAGGGGUGAAAGUUCUGCAUCCCCGGGUCCUGCACGGUGAACAGGGGUGAAGGUUCUGCAUCCCCGAGCCCCGCACGGUGAGAAGGGCUGAAGGUUCUGCAUCCUCGGGCCCCUCACGGUGAACAGGGCUGAAGGUUCUGCAUCCCCGGGCCCCGCACGGUGAACAGGGGGGAAGGUUCUGCAUCCCCGGGCCCCGCACGGCUUAUUUUCCCACCUGUCCUGCGGCAAAAGAUGCACAUAAAAACAAUUAACAUACAGGUUUGAUGGUGAUGGGACAUCAGAGGAACACUUGCAUGCAUAGAAACAACUGGCAAUGAGAGCAGUAAGUGUGAAGUAUGAAACAGCACAAAAUAAUUCAAGUUGCAGUUUAAAAUGUUACUGUUAUGCACAAACCCUCCACCACUUAAACUUUACAGUGUUCAGAGUAGAAAAUAAACGUAAAAAAAAAUAAUUUGGUUUAUAUGGCCAUAGGUGACUUCUUUUAAAGCCUGAACUGCUCAUCUGCCCUGAAAAUGUUCCUGAGUAGCUGUUCAAACAGGCCACUUCCUAUGUGUGGUGUCCAAAGUGUAUUCCUUCAAAAUCCACUGUUGGGAAUCACUUUUCUCACUCUCUAAAGAGAACUAAAGGAUAUUCUAUUUACAGAAUGCAAACAAACACAUAGAAUAUAAAUAAACAUGCAGAAUGUAAAUAUAUCUAAAUAUAAUUCGAAUUUUUUAAGUUGAUAUUAAAAAAAUGAAAAUUCAGACUGAGGCUUGAGGACUGUGACACAUCAAAUAAAUAUCUCUCCUGUAUACCAUAUCCCUGCAGCUUUUCCCUUGCAGCAGCAGAACUCACCUCUCUGACAUCCAGUAACUACUUAGCAGGUAGGAGAGUGGAAUUGUGACAACCACCUUAAAAUUUUAUGUGUCUCUGUUUAGUCCUUUGGAGUUUCUCCAGUGGGGUUUAAUGGAAAUUUAUAUUCACCUUGACAUUAAACUACACUGACUUCUCGUAGCCAAUUUCUGUUUAGGAGUUCACAGUGGUUUUUUUGCUAAAGCAGACUUAAUUGGUGACUGAAUCCAUUUUUUGGAUUUCCAGAAGCAUAUGGACAACCAGAUGUGGCAAAGUACAAAUUAAGCACACAUUGGGCUUCUGUUUUUCAUGCUGAAGGUUGCUGAAGAUUUCAUUUCACUGUUCUCACCACUGUGCUGAACUGAUCAUUAACGUUCGUCACACAAAGCCCCCUGACACAGUGUACACUCACAACUCACUGCCUCCACAAAUGGCACAGAAAACAUUUAUUUAAUUAGACUCUACAGGAAAUCCUCAUCUAUCUUGAUUCCUUGGCUGCCUCUUCAGUGCAGUGAGCUAGGAAACACUAACUUAGAGAGAAAUAAAGAUUGUUAUUAUUAUCAAUCAUAGAAAAUGGAAGAAACCAUGUACCAUGUAUUACGAGAGCACAGAUAUAUGUAUAUGUGUAUAAACCAUGCUGUUGUCAGUUCUUACCAAGCCCAAGGCUUGAAAAAGCGCAUUGCUUCCCUUAAUUUUUGGGUUUGUGGUAGCUGAACUUCAGUAAUGCACUCAGCAAGGCCAGCUGCUAUCAGGCAUAUUAUCUGUUCUGUUAGCAGUCAUUAAAUAUGCUUGGACCAUAAUUGCUACUGUGUUUGGAUCCCAAGACAACCUGGUCAGAGCCCUCUCUGGUUGCAAGCACCCAGGGGUAUUUUCAGAGAUGCUGCUGUAUUUUUCUGGCCCCUUUUUCUGUACUUCCUUGAAAGUGCAUUUUGUGAAACUCACUUGGCAGUUGUAAAGGUUUGAUGUGCUCUAGUGAAAUUAUUUUGCCUUAGUCUUACGUGACACUUGCUGAGUUAUUCCUUCUCUGUGCUAACUUACUUUGUGCUGCACAGUCACAUACCAAAAAGACCUGAGAAAGUAAGACCUGAUGUUAAUCCUGUGGGAUUUCAGUGGAACUGGGAAACAGCUUAGUCCAAGCUUGUGGCCUGUGAGCCAGGAUUCACAAAUGCUCUGAAAGUCAGUUCUCUGCUGCAACGUUGUAUUGUUGCAUUUAUCAGUGCAGCAUCAAUUUCUUUAACAAUGAAAUUUCCUGUUAUCCAGCCUUUGAGUUAGUUUUGUUGUAUGAAUCUGAAAAAGAAAAUAAAUCUCUUGUUUAUUAUGAGAGAGGCCCGGCUCUCCCUGCAGGAAAGCAGCCCCAGACUCAAACUAAGAGAGAUACAGCCUGGUGAUGUUAUCACUCUGCAGCCAAGAAGUGAAGCAACAAGACAACACUACGUGGUCAUUCUUGUUUGCAUGUGAAUUAUAGAAAGAGAACUCUGCAAGAAUUGUCACAGGAGUCUGAGCCAGGGGUUUUGGUGAGUACUUUGCAGAGCAGAUAUUGGAGGCUUCAGAGGGGGCCCCUGGGAUCACUGUCAGAACAGCCCUUGAAAUCCGGGUGGGAAUAUUGGGUCAACCCCCUCCCCCCCCCAAAACUGCUCUGCAUCUUUGCCUCUUAGCCAUGAAAGGAAUUUCCAGUCUCUAACAGAUUCUCAAGCUGUUAAUUGUUAUUAACUCUCUUGUGGUUUUUCCCCUCAAAAUCGCUGUGAUGAUUAUGGGACAGGCACCAAAUGAUCCUAAAACACUCCUGACAUCUAACUAGAAAGGAUAGCACUUUGCAUUCACAAAAAUUUCAAGAGUUUUUUGAUUUGACUUGCAUUUGGGGAGGGAUUUGCCUUUUAUUUUACUAGGAAUUAAAUUUCUCUGCCUGAGUACUGUUUAUGUGGCCGAAGAGACAACCUGAAGAAACCCAAAAUGAAAAAAUACAUGGUACUCCCUGGCAUUUGUGGUCACUAUAAAAACAAGCUGUGAUGCAAACUGGUGCUUCUGAACUAGAGCAAAAGUUCAAGCAAACAAAUUGGCAUUUUGUAUAAUUUCCCUGUGGGAAAAAUGGAUCAGUCAUUCAGUGAUGCAGGAGAGAGGGAACUAAGGAGGAGGGUGCUGGUGAUGAAAAAUGAGGCUACUUGAGGUGUUUAACAUGGACAUAGAGGUUGAAAUUCCCAAACUGGUACUUUGCAUCAGGUACAACUGCAUCACCUUUUAUAAUCACCUCCUAUCUCCCUCAGCACAUCCUACUUUUUUUUUUUUGUUUUGCUGGCAUCUUACUUUACAUGUAUGAAAAUUUAGUUCCUUGCCCUGGCAUGUACUCUCAAAAAAAAACCCCAAGUCCCUUUUUUUCUUACUCUAAGAUAUGUGUAGUUUGAUUGUUUCUUUGUUCUGGAAGAGGUGAAAGUGCAUCAUAUCUUUGAAACUACUCAGAGCAAAACCACAUCAUUUUGUGCUUUCUUCCUUUUUCGGGUUCCUGUUAUUCCUGCAAGCCUGGCAUUAUACCCUGCAGAAAAUCAUGGUGUUUGAAAAAUAAUCUUCAAGGUAAAUACUUAAUCUAGGCAGUCUUGUUCCGAAUGCUUGACUGAUUUUAAUGAAAAUAACAUUAAUAAAAUUAA